GGAAAUCUUUCUGUUGUGAAAUUGAUGAAGAAUCUACAAGCAAUCUGGAAAGUGUUCCUGGUGUUUUAUCUUUUCAGCCAGACAAGAGUUAUGACUCAGAUAAUAAAAACUAUGGAGAGCAAGGAAGUAGAAGAUAAGUGCAGAAUGGUGAUAGGUGACUUUUUUCUCUGUCUGCAAAGUGAAGGGGAGUUGGCAAGAUUGUGACUUUUUCUUCAAACAUACAAAUUUACUGAAGUUUGAUGGUGGUAGAAAAUGGUGUAAACGAGUAAGGAGAAAGCAGAAGG